rnacentral:rRNA from 1 species
AUGGAGUGCCUGACCAAAAUGAUUAAAAAUGCCCAGAAAAACAACCUUAUUGUGGGGUUGGCUUCUGACCUGAUCCCUAAUGGGGUCGCGGUCCUGCAAUAUGCGGAUGACACGAUAAUUUGUUUAGAGCACGAUCUGGAGAAGGCGUUGAACCUGAAGCUACUCCUGUAUACUUUCGAAAUGAUGUCUGGGUUGAAAGUUAAUUUCCACAAGAGUGAAAUUCUAACUGUGGGGGGCGAUGACCAUAUUAAUAAAGCUUACGCAGAUCUCUUUAACUGUGAUAUUGGUCAUUUCCCUCUUAAGUAUCUAGGGAUGCCUGUGAGCUUUACUACCCUUCGAAACUCAGACUGGGAGUUCAUCGUUGAUAAAUAUUUAGUCAGGUUUGAUGCCUGGGUUGGGAAUGCUGCUUCUAUGGGAGGGAGACACACCCUUUUGGACUCGGUGGUCACCCAACUCUCUCUCUACCACAUGUCCAUGUGGAUGAUGAAUAAGACUUUUGUGGAAAAGCUGGAUAAGCAUAGGAGGAGAUUUUUCUGGCAAGGUGCCAAUAAAAAGCACGGUAUCAUCUGGUUCGAUGGAGCAGAAUUUGUAGGUCCAAGGAUAAAGGUGGACUGGGUAUUAAAGACUUACGCAAACAAAAUAUCAGUCUUAUGCUUAAAUGAUGGUGGAAAUUGGAUACCCAACAUGGGAUUUGGCAAGAUAUUGUGA